rnacentral:tRNA from 1 species
ACUUUCUUAGUAUAAUUAGUACUGCUGACUUCCAAUUAGCAAGUUCCGUAUAACAAUGGAAGAAAGUA